rnacentral:rRNA from 1 species
CCUACGGGUGGCAGCAGUGAGGAAUAUUGGGCAAUGGAGGCAACUCUGACCCAGCCAUGCCGCGUGAGUGAAGAAGGUUUUCGGAUUGUAAAGCUCUUUCGGAUGUGACGAUGAUGACGGUAGCAUCUAAAGAAGCCCCGGCUAACUUCGUGCCAGCAGCCGCGGUAAUACGAAGGGGGCAAGCGUUGUUCGGAAUUCCUGGGCGGAAAGGGAGUGUAGGCGGUUUAGUAAGAUAGUGGUGAAAUCCCAGGGCUUAACUUUGGAAUUGCCAUUAUAACUAUUAGACUAGAAUUACAGAGAGGAUAGUGGAAUACCCAGUGUAGAGGUGAAAUUCGUAGAUAUUGGGUAGAACACCAGUGGCGAAGGCAGCAUACCGGCGCUCAACUGACGCUGAGGCACGAAAGCGUGGGGAUCGAACAGGAUUAGAUACCCGGGUAGUC